rnacentral:rRNA from 1 species
UACGGAGGGGGCAAGCGUUGUUCGGAAUUAUUGGGCGUAAAGGGCUCGUAGGCGGACCGGUGUGUCUGGCGUGAAAUCUCCACUGCUUAACAGGGAGGGGCCGCUGGAAACUGCCGAUCUUGAGUAUGGUAGAGGACCAUGGAAUUCCGGGUGUAGCGGUGGAAUGCGUAGAUAUUCGCAAGAACACCAGUGGCGAAGGCGGCUCACUGGCCCGAUACUGACGCUGAGGCACGAAAGCGUGGGGAGCAAACAGG